GACGAACGCUGGCGGCGUGCCUAAUACAUGCAAGUCGAACGCUUCUUUCCUCCCGAUUGCUUGCACUCAAUUGGCAAGAGGAGUGGCGGCCGGGUGAGUAACACGUGGGUAACUUACCCAUCAGAGGGGGAAAACACUUGGAAACAGGUUCUAAUACCGCACAACAGUUUAUGCCGCAUGGCAUAAGAGUGAAUGGCGCUUUCGGCUGUCGUUGUUGGCUGGAUCCGCGGUGCAUUAGCUAGUUGGUGGGCUAACGGCUCACCAAGGCGACGAUGCAUAGCCGAACUGUGAGAGUGAUCGGCCACACUAGAGCUGGGACGCGGCCAAUGCUCCUGCGGGAGGGAGCAGUAGGGAACCUGCGGCAAUGGACGAAAGUCUGGCCGAGCAGCGGCGAGUGAGUGAAGAAGGCUUUGCGAUCGUGAUGCUCUGUUGUUAGAGGAGAACAGGGACGGUAGUAACUGAACCGCGCGUGACGGUAUCUAGCCAGAAAGCAACGGCUAACUACGUG
rnacentral:rRNA from 1 species